rnacentral:rRNA from 1 species
UACGUAGGUGGCAAGCGUUGUCCGGAAUUAUUGGGCGUAAAGCGCGCGCAGGCGGCCUUUUAAGUCUGAUGUGAAAGCCCACGGCUCAACCGUGGAAGGUCAUUGGAAACUGAAAGGCUUGAGUACAGAAGAGGAAAGCGGAAUUCCACGUGUAGCGGUGAAAUGCGUAGAUAUCUGGAGGAACACCGGUGGCGAAGGCGGCAUCCUGGACCGACACUGACACUGAGGAGCGAAAGCCAGGGGAGCAAACGGG